CGGCACCGUAGCCCCGAACGAACGUCCCCCUGUGUUUUGUCCACCCGUGUCUUGCACUGUUUAUACCCUUCAUGGAUUAAUAAAGAAGCUUGAAGUUUACGUAUUUGUGCAAGAUGUCAAGAACCGUUGGCGGUCAACCAAAUAUCAUUUUCACAAAUAUAUGAAUGAUGUUGGCAAAAGUGGGUCUGCUGCGCCUCCAAAAAAAAGUUGCACAUUUUGAGUAACUACAAUUUCUUCUAACCAGCUGCGUGGUUCGCAAUUCUAGUGGCAACAUUGCAAAUCCUCAUACGUUGGAACCAGACAACGACAGCCAACAAUCAUCAGGGUCCACACAAGAUCAAGAAAGAAGUCUAGAAGAUGUUGCUGGCCCAUUUGAUCCAAAUGUCGACUUGGCAAGCAGACGAGCGGCAAAUGAUGGAUACCAUACUAAUGCUGGUAGCAGUCGCAGAGGUGGCCGUUCAGGCGGUCGGGGUAGGGGACGACCAAUCACAGUAGAAACUGAGGCAAUAGCAAUGCUUCAAAGGUUAGAUGCGGAGGAGCAUUGGGACCAUAUCACAUAUACAAUGGCUGAAAGGCUGCGCAAAAGCCCUGAAGGAAGACAAUGGUCAUGUGUUCCUGCAUUUUUUCAAAUUAUGGCUUUAUAUGCCUUCCCCUGAUCCUAUUCCAGAUAAUGUUGAGGAAUCGUCACCAAUAUUUUUAUACACCCACAGGUGUGCGUGUAGUAGGAGUCAUUUUGUACCCUCCACUCGGAUGUCUAUUAUUUUUAAUUGAUUUUAAAUGUCUUUGUUUUCUCUGUGCAUCUAAUAAAAUGUGUUGAUA